rnacentral:rRNA from 1 species
GAUGAACGCUGGCGGCGUGCCUAAUACAUGCAAGUCGAGCGAAUGGAUUAAGAGCUUGCUCUUAUGAAGUUAGCGGCGGACGGGUGAGUAACACGUGGGUAACCUGCCCAUAAGACUGGGAUAACUCCGGGAAACCGGGGCUAAUACCGGAUAACAUUUUGAACCGCAUGGUUCGAAAUUGAAAGGCGGCUUCGGCUGUCACUUAUGGAUGGACGCGCGUCGCAUUAGCUAGGUGGUGAGGUAACGGCUCACCAAGGCAACGAUGCGUAGCAGACCUGAGAGGGUGAUCGGCCACACUGGGACUGAGACACGGCCCAGACUCCUACGGGAGGCAGCAGUAGGGAAUCUUCCGCCAUGGACGAAAGUCUGACGGAGCAACGCCGCGUGAGUGAUGAAGGCUUUCGGGUCGUAAAACUCUGUUGUUAGGGAAGAACAAGUGCUAGUUGAAUAAGCUGGCACCUUGACGGUACCUAACCAGAAAGCCACGGCUAACUACGUGCCAGCCGCCGCGGUAA